GCAUCCUUUGCUGAGGAUACGGUUAACGGAGCGAAAGCGACGUUCAACCUCAAAAGAAGCAGAGGGGGCUUAGUGGUGGGGUGACUGCGUACCUUUUGUAUAAUGGGUCAGCGACUUAUAUUCUGUAGCAAGGUUAACCGUAUAGGGGAGCCGGAGGGAAACCGAGUCUUAACCGGGCGUUAAGUUGCAGGGUAUAGACCCGAAACCCGGUGAUCUAGCCAUGGGCAGGUUGAAGGUUGGGUAACACUAACUGGAGGACCGAACCGACUAAUGUUGAAAAAUUAGCGGAUGACCUGUGGCUGGGGGUGAAAGGCCAAUCAAACCGGGAGAUAGCUGGUUCUCCCCGAAAGCUAUUUAGGUAGCGCCUCGUGAAUUCAUCUCCGGGGGUAGAGCACUGUUUCGGCUAGGGGGCCAUCCCGGCUUACCAACCCGAUGCAAACUGCGAAUACCGGAGAAUGUUAUCACGGGAGACACACGGCGGGUGCUAACGUCCGUCGUGAAGAGGGAAACAACCCAGACCGCCAGCUAAGGUCCCAAAGUCAUGGUUAAGUGGGAAACGAUGUGGGAAGGCCCAGACAGCCAGGAUGUUGGCUUAGAAGCAGCCAUCAUUUAAAGAAAGCGUAAUAGCUCACUGGUCGAGUCGGCCUGCGCGGAAGAUGUAACGGGGCUAAACCAUGCACCGAAGCUGCGGCAGCGACGCUUAUGCGUUGUUGGGUAGGGGAGCGUUCUGUAAGCCUGUGAAGGUGG
rnacentral:rRNA from 1 species